rnacentral:misc_RNA from 1 species
GUGAUUUUAACCAUGGCCGAGAGGCUGGGGCGCGCAGGAGGGUUGCCUUUCGAGGUGCUGCUCGGCCGUCCGAAUAUCUAACCAAAAACAAACUGUGCACGCCUUUGGGCAUUACAAACCAUUAGUAUUGAAUGUAAAACAAACAAGUUAAUA